UACUCUACGCUCACUGGAUUUUGCGGACUUCUUGGCCAUGUUAGGUAAAGAAGCUCCGUAAGUGUCAUUUCGUAGCAAGAUUGCAGCCACUCCUGCCUCCUCCUAUAUGUAGUACUUGAAACCUUCACAUGAAGACUGUCAUUAAGAAAAUGGCUGUAUCAAAGUGAAUCUUGUGAAGAGAGUCAAUUCAGCUCUAGUGUUCAAUGUCACAAUGUCAGAAAGCAAGCAAUAAUAAUUCAGUUAUAUGAUCAAGCCCUCAACCGGAACCCGCGACAUGCCCCGACGCUCGGUCCCCAUCCCGCACUGUUGUGGACAUCCCCGAGGUGUCCCCAAGCCGACGCGUGAUCUGGCUCCAGCGACCAGGCGCGUCCAUCGAUCGGGAUCUUGGCCAGCGCCCGCGGGUCCCUUCAACACCGCCGCCCUCCGGAAAUUUCUCACUCAAGAGAAAUGGAAACUUCUCACUGAAGAGAAAUUUUCUUUUGAAACUAAAUAAUAUAGACUAAUUACUAACAAGAUCAAUGUUCUGACCAUGAGAUAGUUACAGUGCCCUCCAUACAAAAAAAGAACUUGAAUCGGAGAUCGGUAUAAGUUAUAGCUCUUUCACCGUCCUUGAAGAAAAAUAUAACUAUUGCACAAUGCUAGGCACACAGAUAAACCCCAAACAUAUUGUAUAUUUAUAGAAACUUCAACAAUAUAAGAAAAUCUAGGGAUCAAAUGGUAAACUGUUUUAGGAUCUUGCACAAGAAAUCAGUAAAACUUGCAAAGUGCAAUUGCAGAUCCUGUCCUACUAUUCUCAAAAUUCAGAGAUGUCAUAAACUAAAGCCACUUCUGUUUAGGCUAAAACAGAGUGUCGUGAUGUUUGUUUUGGGCGAAUUUCUUUUGGCAAACUCAGUGAUGCUGUAAAAAACCAUAAACCAAAGCAAAUGCAUGCUGUUUGUUCACUUCACCUUUUAUGUAGGAUCUGCUGAACUGAUAGAGUUCAAUAAUUGUAUUUGGAAUAUGAUAUCAUAUAUAGUAACUCAUUGCCUGCUACCAAUACAAGAAACCUCACAUGAAGCAUAUGACAAGGUUUAUCAAACAAGCAAGUAGGAUUAACCUCCAGAAAAUUACAUCAAGAUGGAAGCUUUCUAUUUAGUAGACAGGUAGUUGAUGGGAUGUUACCUGCAGGACCUUGGUCUUUUCUCCUCUGAGAUGAGCUGUGCCGCCAUGACGGACAGUCCUUCCAGUUCCACAUGCUUGGACGGCCAGUGCCAUCCAACAGCAGGUGGCGUAGUGGAGGCAUGGGUGAUCUGCACACGCACACACAUCUGCUAGGUCAAGCGCCAAGGGAGGUGGAGCAGACCAACAAAGAACUCGCCAGAAAUUGUUUUUUUUCUACCUAAUAUCCUGCUCCCAAAUACAAAGAAAUUGUUAUUUUUUUCAAAAUAAGAGUUAUAUUAGCACGGGCACCAAGAGGAAUGAUAUUGUAUCAUCUUCAGGGCAUGCCUCACUGAAAGCAAUUUUUGGUCGAAAGUAGCAUGAUCUAAAUUAGCUGAUGUGGGAUCCUUCAGAACUAAUUGGCUGACAUAAAAACGGUUAAAUCAAUAACACAACAGAACAAUAAUUAAAUGCAUAGUUUUACUUAAAGGCAUAGACCUGAAAAGUAGUCAUCCAAACAAUUAGACCUUGAUUUGAGUAUACCUACACUCAAACCUUUCAUUAACAAUCAUCUUGUUGUUGGUCUGCACCAUAUGAACCCAAAGUAAGUUUUCCCGUUUACUUUUUGUUUUAAUGCAAAUGUGUAACAGAGAGAGGGUCUGAAAAGAGAGAUAGUUCGCAUGCAUGUAAGGAUGAUUAGAGAUAAGUAUUAGUUUUUGAAUCAUUAGGCAUCUAUAUAUAAGGCAUCUACUUCAUAUUUGUAAUCCCUAAUCUGAACCCUCUCACUACUGGUAAUUACUCUCAUGAAACCAUAUCAGACACACGACACUCAUCAUUAGUAAUGACUGAACAAAAGAGGCAUGAGAGUGUUUCAAUAACCUGAAUGAUUGCUUAAACCAGAAAAGCAAUUCCAACAGAAAGGCAUGAUCCUCUUCAUUUUUCGAUGAACUGAAGGACGAAAAGAAGUAACCAACAGAAACCUUAGCCGAUGAAAUAAGCGCCUUCUCCUUAAGUUCAUAUGAAAGAAAUGGUAAAUUAAAUUUUCUCAAAUUAAUAUUUCAUGGCACCGAUUUUAUGCUCUACUAUUUAGGAUAUGCCGAACCUACAUAACAUAUAGGAAUCUGAUCAUGACUAACUUUAUAUACCUAUAUAUGACUACUCUACUACUCCAAAAAUUAAUAAUGUUGUACUUAUUAAAGUAUAAGAUUCUGUAAAUUGCUCGAGCUAAGUAAUCCAGAUAGGUGAAGAGACAAUCGAUCAAAACAUCAGUACAUCACAUUUAUAUAGGCAGUGCCUUCUGAACAAACCCUUACUAAUGGGUCUCAUUAUCAGGAAACUCAUGAUUCCCAAUAACAGACCACAAUAUUAAUUUCUGCAGUAACGUAAUACAGGAUGUACCUUCAAAUGUUGAUUUUAGUCGCUUUCUUUAGAUUUUCCUGCAUUGACCAGCUUAUCCCUGAAAGUAAAGUUGAAUAUCAGAUUAGCAAAUUAAAGAUUGGAGCAUCAGAUUAGCAGCUAUAUAUUGCAACUUGCAAGCAUGCAUUUUUAACUGUAAAAGAGCUAAUAAAGUGUUUACUUCAAGAAAAUACAGCAGGCCAAGCAAAAAAUGUAUAUCUAAACGGUGAGCAAAAAAAGAAAUAUACUCUCCACAAAUAAAUGAUCAAAGUUUACAAAUGCUUGGCUUGUGAACUACUUAGUUACUCCCUGCUACUAAAAAAAGUCAACCAUACAACUAAUAUGCCCAAGCUUGAGAGAGACACAAUCCAAAUGAAUUGCCAAAGAGAAGAAAGAACUGCAGAAAAACAUGAAAGAUCCCCCUGUACAACAGAUUGCAGAAAAGACCAAUGCAUUCUCAAAUUAUUUGCUCCUUCUGAGCUAAAAAGCUCCCUGCAGAGCAAAUGGUCGAGCUGGCCGUAGGAAGGAACACACUAAAACAUGCCAAGAAAAGUGCAUUGGUAAAAACAAAACAAAAAGAAAAUAUAGGAACAACCAGGACGGGGUUAAUGGUUUGGGAGUUGAGAGAGUUGAUGGGAGGGACAACCGAAGCAUACCUAGCAGAAAUUCGCAUCUGCUUUUCCAAGAUGAUGUGCUGCUCGGUGGAUGAUCAUCAUCAUGCAUCAACUGUAAAGGUCCUCCAUUCUUAUAUGCAUUCAGUUUCUGCAAGUUCAAAAGGUAGUUCUAUAUAAUCACUAAACAGAGGCACUAACCUGAUACUGAAUUUAUAGAAUAAGUGCAGACCCUUUGUUGAGUCCUCUGCAAUCUCAAUACUUUGGAUCCAACUAAUGUUCUUGUCUUGCC
rnacentral:lncRNA from 1 species